AUGAAGGAACGGAAGCCGGCGGCCCCCUCUGCGUUGGCCCGGAUCCUCGCCACCUGCGCGUCCCAGAUGCAAGGAGGUUUGAGCAGCCCUGGUGCGCUCUCUCAUGCUUAUGUACAACAUCCUCCACUACGGUGUGACAUUCCAGAUAUUAAGGGGCUAUUUUAUGAUGAUGCGAAUAAGUUUCUUGUAGCCCCAACAGCUGAUCGGAUAUUAUACUGGAAGAUAGCUGCAUCUACUCAAUCUGGACCUCCAAACUCUGAUCCAAUUAAUGAAGGCCCCAUCUUAUCAGUUCGAUUUUCUCUGGAUCAGAAAGCCAUAGGGAUUCAGCGAUCCAGUCAUGAGGUGGAGUUUAGAAAUAGAGAAACAGGGGAAGGCUGUAGUAAGAAGUGCAGAGCAGAUUCUGAGACCAUACUGGGAUUUUUCUGGACCGACUGUCCCACUUGUGAUGUCAUAAUUAUAAAAACAAGUGGGCUAGAUAUGCUUGUCUAUGAGCCUCAAUCAAAUGCUCUUCGGUUAGUGGAGUCAAAAAAGUGCAAUGCCACCUGGUAUCUUUACACUCAUGAAAGCAGGUUGCUUCUUCUUGCAUCUGGAAUGCAAUGUACGCUGUUCACUGGAUAUCAGUUUUCUGCUGGUGGGAUCGUCAAAUUGCCUAAGUUUGAGAUGGUGAUGUCUAAAUCCGAAGCAAAUAACAAGCCUGUCCUAGCUGCUGCUGAUGUUCACAUCGUAACAGUGUAUGGUAGGAUUUACUGCUUGCAGCUGGAUAGAGUCGGCAUGGCAUUGAACCUGUACCGAUUCUACCGUGAUGCUGUUGUACAACAGGGUACUCUCCCAGUAUAUUCAAGCAGAAUUGCAGUUAGUGCAGUUGACAAUAUAAUCAUGGUCCAUCAAAUUGAUGCGAAAGUUGUCAUACUUUACGAUGUAUUUAUGGAUUCUUACGCACCAAUAUCUGCACCACUUCCAUUGCUUGUGAGAGGACUCGCCAGCAAUAGUAAGCAAGCAGCACAACCUGCAGAUCAGCAAUCAAGUGCAUAUGGCGGGACUUUAUAUGGAGAAGGUUGGAACUUUCUCAUUCCUGACCUCAUCUGUGAUGCUGAGAAUGGGCUACUCUGGAAACUUCAUUUAGAUCUGGAGGCUAUUGCUGCUAGUACUUCUGAUGCUCCUUCGAUUUUGGAAUUCCUUCAGAGACGAAAGUCUGACCUGAGUAUGGUUAAGACACUAAGCCUUGCUAUAGUUCGAACAACCAUCUUGGAAAGGAGGCCAAUAACUUUGGUUGCAAAGGCAAUGGAUAUCAUUCUUGAUUCAUACUCUCGUUCGAUGAAAACGGUAGGCGGUGCUGCUGGGGUUAGGAGGACGUCUGAGCAAAACCAACAGUCAAGUUUUCAGCCUGUUGAGGACUCCCGUGUGGUUUCUCAGGAACCUCCUGGAACCAUGAUUGGACCUGUUAUCAACACUGAUUCAGCAAGUGGGGUUGAGAGUAGACAGUCACAGUCAAAUUCAGGAGUUGAGCAUGGAAUUGCUAACCUGGCAGCACAUGUAGAUAGGUCAUCUUUAAACACAUCCUCUGAUUCUGACGGUAUUACCAAUACAUCGAGAGCGGUAAGUCAGGCAACAUCAAGCUCCCAGAUAUCUGACGCCACUGGCAAAAGACCGCAGGUUGUAGGCAAGGAUAGCCAACCAUUGGCUUCUGGUACAUCAAUGCAGCAUGGAACACAUGUUGCUAGUGUGGCAAUUUCACCAAUUGAAAUGGUCCAGUCCGUCUUUGUGCUUGUUGAAGAUGAAAUGAUGGGUGAUCCUGCAUACCUUAUUGCUGUCAUCAUGGAGUUUCUACGAAGCCUGUCAAAAGCUGGGCUGAAGGCUCCUCCUGACCUUUAUGUCAUGAUGACUGCUUUGCUGGCCUGCAGCAACCGUUAUGCUGAAAUAGCACUGUUUGUAUCGAACAAGAUCCUAGAGCCGUCCAGGGAACUCGCAAUGCAGCUCAUUGAACUGGGUCGACAGCAUUCACUGACAAGGAAGCUGGGAGUCGACAUGCUCCGGGAGAGGUGCCUGCACCAUGACUACGUUGCCGCAUUACUCCAAGACGGGUACUACCUGGAGGCUCUACGCUAUGCUCGAAAAUACAAGGUUAUCACCGUGCAGCCUUCCCUGUUUUUGGAGGAAGCCGUGGCCAAGAACAGCACGCCGAACCUUGCCGCCGUGCUGAGCUUUUUUGCUGAGCUCACGCCGAGUUUCAAGACGACGUUGGACUAUAGCAGAUAUCGGCACAUACUGUUGGAAAUGGUCUGA
rnacentral:rRNA from 1 species